rnacentral:rRNA from 1 species
UACGUAGGGUGCAAGCGUUAAUCGGAAUUACUGGGCGUAAAGCGUGCGCAGGCGGUUUUGUAAGUUUGUCGUGAAAUCCCCGGGCUCAACCUGGGAAUGGCGAUGAAGACUGCAAGGCUAGAAUCUGGCAGAGGGGGGUAGAAUUCCACGUGUAGCAGUGAAAUGCGUAGAGAUGUGGAGGAACACCGAAUGGCGAAGGCGGCUCUCGUGGUACGUGACUGACGCGUGAGACGCG